AACGCACCUUGCACCCUUUGGUAUUCCGAAGGGUACACCCGUUUGAGUGUCAUUGUAAUCUCACUUUAACAUUUAUUUGUUGAAUGUGGACUUGGAUGUUGCCGUGUUAUUACGGCUCGUCUUAAAUGCCUGAGUGUACCUUGCUUUGCAGCGUAUCCGAUGUAAUAAAUAUUUCAUCAGAGUUGGUCGCAAGACCGCGUUUUGUAUUGUCGAGCUCUAUGCUUCAAACCGUCCUUUAUGGACAAACUUUAACUGACAAUUUGACCUCAAAUCGGGUGGGACUACCCGCUGAACUUAA
rnacentral:misc_RNA from 1 species